UUUAUUUAGCCAUUCUCCUGUUGAUGGACACCAGAACUAUUUCCAGUUUUUGGCCAUUAAAAACAAGGCUUCCAUCAACGUUUUUGCACAACUUUUUGUGUGUGCGGUCACAUGUUUUCAUUUCUUUUGGGUAAAUUCAGAGGAAUAGAUUUGCUGGGUCAUAAGGAUUGGCCUGGAGGUGGCGCCGCUGCUGUUGGUCUGGAACCACGGGACCAAGACUCAGGAGGGUCUGGCAAAUGGAUGAGGAUGUCAUCCAGCGGAAGAGGAUGCCCAGAAGGCCAGGCUGGACCCUUUUAUCAGCCGCUGGAAGAAAGCAGAGAUAUUGCCCAAACCUAAGAGCACUGAUAUGUCUUCCACAUGCUCAAGACUUAUCUUGAAAUCUGUUUUUGACUCCUGUUUCCUGAGAUCCAGAGUGAUCUGGGUUUUAAAUACAACACCCUGGUUUCUU
rnacentral:lncRNA from 1 species